GAUGAACGCUGACAGAAUGCUUAACACAUGCAAGUCAACUUGAACUUCGGUUUGGGUGGCGGACGGUUGAGUAACGCGUAAAGAACUUGCCUCACAGCUAGGUACAACAUUUGGAAACGAAUGCUAAUACCUGAUAUUAUGAUUCUAUGUCAUCGUAUCAUUAUGAUAGCUAUAUGCGCUGUGAUAGAGCUUUGCGUCCCAUUAGCUAGUUGGAGCGGUAACAGCUCACAAUGGCGAUGAUGGGUAGCCGGCCUGGGAGGGUGAUCGGCCAAAAGGGAACUAAGACACGGCCCUAACUCUAACGGGAGGCAGAAGUGGGGAAUAUUGGACAAGGGACCGAGAGUCUGAUAGAGAAAUUCUGUGUGCAAGAUGAAGUUUUUCGGAAUGUAAAGUGCUUUCAGUUGGGAAGAAAAAAAUGACGGUACCAACAGAAGAAGUAACGGCUAAAUACGUG
rnacentral:rRNA from 1 species